AAUAAGAUGCCUGAUUAAAGGGCUAUCUUGAUAGGAUAGAUUAUGUAAUUAUUUACUCUUAUUA
rnacentral:tRNA from 1 species